rnacentral:rRNA from 1 species
UACGUAGGUGGCAAGCGUUGUCCGGAUUUAUUGGGUUUAAAGGGUGCGUAGGCGGUUUUAUAAGUCAGUGGUGAAAUACAACAGCUUAACUGUUGAGGUGCCAUUGAUACUGUAAGGCUUGAGUACAGACGAGGUAGGCGGAAUUGACGGUGUAACGGUGAAAUGCUUAGAGAUCGUCAGGAACACCGAUAGCGAAGGCAGCUUACUAGACUGUAACUGACGCUGAGGCACGAAAGUGUGGGGAUCAAACAGG